AACUCCUCCUCACUAGGAUAAAAAAGAUAGUGAAGAUCAAUGAUUCUCUUUAGUUUAGUAUCAACUGUUAAAGUGACAAACCAACACUCAAAAUAAAAAUUGAUCAGUGUAAAUUACUUCGGUUAAAUCAAAUCAAAAUGUGUUGCCAGGUACAACGCAAUGUGGACUCAAGUAAACCCAGCUUAAAUUUUGUUGCUAGUGAAGAGGAGACAGUGAUACACCAAUUGGUUGAUCUUUUACAUAUAAACUGUGAUAUAGACAUUGUUGAUCUUUUAAAAGAGGCGAUGGCCUACAUUUCAGAACUGCAAAGACAUCUCGCAAAUUGAGAAUCUGUUAUAUGCCAAGUGAUCAUGCAAUGCUUACUUACCAUGACUUGAAUACCAGUUGUCUAUGGCACCAGAUGAAAA